GAUGAAGAACGUAGCGAAAUGCGAUACGUAAUGUGAAUUGCAGAAUUCAGUGAAUCAUCGAGUCUUUGAACGCACAUUGCGCCCCCUGGUAUUCCGGGGGGCAUGCCUGUCCGAGCGUCAUUGCUGCCCUCAAGCACGGCUUGUGUGUUGGGCCCCCGCCCCCCGGUUCCCGGGGGGCGGGCCCGAAAGGCAGCGGCGGCACCGCGUCCGGUCCUCGAGCGUAUGGGGCUUCGUCACCCGCUCCGUAGGCCCGGCCGGCGCCCGCCGGCGACCCCGCCUCAAUCUUUCCAGGUUGACCUCGGAUCAGGUAGGGAUACCCGCUGAACUUAAGCAUAUCAAUAAGCGGAGGA
rnacentral:misc_RNA from 1 species